AUACGGAGGGUCCGAGCGUUAAUCGGAGUUACUGGGCGUAAAGCGCGCGUAGGUGGAUGUAUAAGUCAGAUGUGAAAGCCCUGGGCUCAACCUAGGAACUGCAUUUGAAACUGUACGUCUAGAGUAUGGUAGAGGUGAGUGGAAUUUCAGGUGUAGCGGUGAAAUGCGUAGAGAUCUGAAGGAACAUCAGUGGCGAAGGCGACUCACUGGGCCAUUACUGACACUGAGGUGCGAAAGCGUGGGUAGCAAACAGGAUUAGAAACCCCAGUAGUCC
rnacentral:rRNA from 1 species